rnacentral:misc_RNA from 1 species
GAUGAAGAACGUAGCGAAAUGCGAUAAGUAAUGUGAAUUGCAGAAUUCAGUGAAUCAUCGAAUCUUUGAACGCACAUUGCGCCCGCCAGUAUUCUGGCGGGCAUGCCUGUUCGAGCGUCAUUUCAACCCUCAAGACCCCUUCGGGGGACUUGGUGUUGGGGACCGGCACAGGGGCCUGCCUGCUUGUCUUGCAGCGCCCUCGCCGCCCCCGAAAUGAAUUGGCGGCCUCGUCGCGGCCUCCCCUGCGUAGUAGCACAACCUCGCAACGGGAACGUGACGGCGGCCACUGCCGUAAAACAACCCCAAUUUUAUUAGAGUUGACCUCGAAUCAGGUAGGAAUACCCGCUGAACUUAAGCAUAUCAAUAAGCGGAGG